AAAUGUACCUUUCUUGGCUGAUCCCUUUCGCUGUAUGGCGUGCUCGUUUGGGUUGGGCGUCGGCUAAGAGUGCUCGGAGUGUGGAUUAACUCCAGUCUCCUAUCAGGUGAGCCUUGAUGUGGGGACUUGGGCCGGAGGGGAUUCAGAGUGGCCACGGUGAUUGUCUUUGGACUUUUAAAUAAGUGUUGGUUUUCAUUUAAUUUCCUUUAAUUAUUAUUUAUUUUUGGGUUGUAAUAAGGCCAAUUUUAACUUUCCUUUUAUUUC